CAGCCGCCACGGUAAUACGUAGGUGGCAAGCGUUGUCCGGAAUUAUUGGGCGUAAAGGGCUCGCAGGCGGUUUCUUAAGUCUGAUGUGAAAGCCCCCGGCUCAACCGGGGAGGGUCAUUGGAAACUGGGAAACUUGAGUGCAGAAGAGGAGAGUGGAAUUCCACGUGUAGCGGUGAAAUGCGUUGAGAUGUGGAGGAACACCAGUGGCGAAGGCGACUCUCUGGUCUGUAACUGACGCUGAGGAGCGAAAGCGUGGGGAGCGAACAGGAUUAGAGACCCCUGUAGUCCCUGUCUCUUAUAC
rnacentral:rRNA from 1 species